rnacentral:rRNA from 1 species
AGAGUUUGAUCCUGGCUCAGAACGAACGCUGGCGGCAGGCUUCAUACAUGCAAGUCGAGCGGUAAGGUUUCCCGCAAGGGAGACCCUAGAGCGGCGAACGGGUGAGUAACACGUGGAUAAUCUGCCUUUCGGUGGGGGAUAACGGCUGGAAACGGCCGCUAAUACCGCAUUCGGUUGUGGGGCCUUCGGACCCUGCAAAGAAAGGGGCCUUUAAAGCUCCGCCGGAAGAUGAGUCCGCGCCCCAUUAGCUAGUUGGCGGGAUAAUAGCCCACCAAGGCAACGAUGGGUAGCCGAGCUGAGAGGUUGAUCGGCCACACUGGGACUGAGACACGGCCCAGACACCUACGGGUGGCAGCAGUAGGGAAUCUUGGACAAUGGGCGAAAGCCUGAUCCAGCCAUGCCGCGUGGAUGAUGAAGGCCUUCGGGUCGUAAAGUCCUUUUCUGAGGGAAGAACCAUCGAGGGAGGAAAUGCUCUCGAUCUGACGGUACCUCAGGAAUAAGCAACGGCUAACUCCGUGCCAGCAGCCGCGGUAAUACGGAAGUUGCAAGCGUUGUUCGGAAUAACUGGGCGUAAAGGGAGCGCAGGCGGUCCGGCCAGUCUGAAGUGAAAUCCCAGGGCUCAACUCUGGACGUGCUUCGGAUACUAUCGGACUUGAGUACGUGAGAGGAGAGUGGAAUUCCAGGUGUAGCGGUGAAAUGCGUAGAUAUCUGGAGGAACACCGGUGGCGAAAGCGGCUCUCUGGCACGUUACUGACGCUCAUGCUCGAAAGCGUGGGGAGCAAACGGGAUUAGAUACCCCGGUAGUCCACGCCGUAAACGUUGUGCGCUAGGUGUAGGAGGUAUUGACCCCUUCUGUGCCGCAGCUAACGCAUUAAGCGCACCGCCUGGGGAGUACGCCCGCAAGGGUGAAACUCAAAGGAAUUGACGGGGGCCCGCACAAGCGGUGGAGCAUGUGGUUUAAUUCGAGGCAACGCGAAGAACCUUACCCAGGCUUGACAUCCCAGGACAGCCCGUGAAAGCGGGUCUUCCCUUCGGGGACCUGGAGACAGGUGUUGCAUGGCUGUCGUCAGCUCGUGUCGUGAGAUGUUGGGUUAAGUCCCGCAACGAGCGCAACCCCUGUUCCUAGUUACCAUCGGGUUAUGCCGGGAACUCUAGGAAGACUGCCGAUGAUAAGUCGGAGGAAGGUGGGGACGACGUCAAGUCAUCACGGCCCUUACGCCUGGGGCUACACACGUGCUACAAUGGUCGGUACAAAGGGUUGCAAGAUCGCGAGAUGGAGCUAAUCCCAAAAAGCCGGCCUCAGUUCGGAUUGGAGUCUGCAACUCGACUCCAUGAAGUCGGAAUCGCUAGUAAGG